AGAAAUAUGUCUGAUAAAAGAGUUACUUUGAUAGAGUAAAUAA
rnacentral:tRNA from 1 species